ACACACUGUAAAAAAGCCACUCACGAACACUCCUCAGUAACCAGAGAGAGAAGAAGAAGAACAACAAGCCAU
rnacentral:sRNA from 1 species